rnacentral:rRNA from 1 species
UACGUAGGUGACCAGCGUUGUCCGGAUUUACUGGGCGUAAAGAGCGCGCAGGCGGUCGUUCAAGUCGAGUGUGAAAGCCCCCGGCUCAACUGGGGAGGGUCACUCGAUACUGAUCGACUUGAAGGCAGGAGAGGGAAGCGGAAUUCCCGGUGUAGUGGUGAAAUGCGUAGAUAUCGGGAGGAACACCAGUGGCGAAGGCGGCUCUCUGGACCGAUACUGACGCUGAGGCGCGAAAGCGUGGGGAGCAAACAGG